rnacentral:rRNA from 1 species
AGAUUUUGUCCUUCGGGUACAAUUGAGACAGGUGGUGCAUGGUUGUCGUCAGCUCGUGUCGUGAGAUGUUGGGUUAAGUCCGUAACGAGCGCAACCCUUGUCCUUAGUUACCAGCACGUUAUGGUGGGCACUCUAAGGAGACUGCCGGUGACAAACCGGAGGAAGGUGGGGAUGACGUCAAGUCAUCAUGGCCCUUACGGCCUGGGCUACACACGUGCUACAAUGGUCGGUACAAAGGGUUGCCAAGCCGCGAGGUGGAGCUAAUCCCAUAAAACCGAUCGUAGUCCGGAUCGCAGUCUGCAACUCGACUGCGUGAAGUCGGAAUCGCUAGUAAUCGUGAAUCAGAAUGUCACGGUGAAUACGUUCCCGGGCCUU